rnacentral:lncRNA from 1 species
UGUUUACCCAGGAACCAGCCUGUAACUCUUGGCGAAAGUGGGGCGGAGAGGGGGGACAUGCAGGAGAGAGGGAGAGAGCCAGGCAACUGGGGCUCAAAACAGUCAAAUUCAAAUUAAAAGGUCAAGACACGAUUCAGGGAAUAUUCCCAGAGAGGAAGAGGGAACCUGCAGGGCCUCCGCUGCGUUGUGGGAGUCACGUAUCACACGGGAAACUAGGACACCAGAUGCGACAAAAUCUGACCCAGAGAAGUGUCCUUUACAGAGCGAAUGAGCUGGGGGCAUUUUUGAAUGGAGAAGAGGAAUUGGUGUGUUGCGUGGUUUUUAUUUUUUUAAUAAAGGAAAACGAGAAAUGAGGGACAAGGAAACGGAAUCCGGAAAAUAACUUGUCUUUCCGGUCGCCCCGCAUUUUCCUCUGGACGAAGCCUCGGGUUUCGAUUUUCCAAAGGGCUCGAGCCUGGCCGGGAAAGGACCGGUGCUCCGGCACCCUGGCGUGGAGGAGUGCGGAGGUUGGAUCGCUUCUAGAGAGGCCCAAACCCGCGGCUGCUAGAAAAGGACUUCGGAAAGAAAUCCACUGAACUCCUUCAUCCGGGGGCCAGAGAGGCGGCACAGGGCCCGUGGACCCUGGGAACACUGGCAGGAAAUGUGUAAUGUGUGACUUGCUUGCAGGGCCAGCCAGGGGAGAUUAGAAAUGGUUUUGUGUUUUCAUUUGCAGGGGUCGCCGCGGGCUCGGCACUGGGGUUGGCCGGGGCAAGGUUAGGCUGUUUAGGCCCCAGACGAGACUUGGGACAGCCCGGGCAGCAGUCAAUCCAGGGAGCCAUUUGUCCCACCUCCCACCCCGCGGGAAACGGCGGAGACUUUAUGGCCACUCUGUUUGUAUUAUCUGCAUAAGUCUUUCCCCACCAGUUUGAUCGAAACUGUUCGCUUUUACGAGGACCCAACGAAAAUUCCCCGUCAUAUUUAUCAGCCGGGGAUAAAAAUUUAGUAUGGGAACUGAUAUUUCCUCAUUUAUGGGACGAUGAAAUUAAAGACCAAAGCAAUUGAGAAUUAUAUGGCUUUGGGGGGUUGCCUCCCCCUCUUUCACGUCUCCUUUACUUUCCCGCCUGGUGUGCCUGUCCGCGGAGUUUGGCGUCCCAGUCCCCUGCCCUUGCCCCCAGUUUAGGGGUCUGCUGGCCCCUCUCCUCCACACUCAGGUACCGCUUGGCCAACCCUAGCUUCUCCUGACUUUUCUCUCGGUGUUAGCAGCUGGGAGCUGGGACAGGGCUCCUGGAGCCUCUGCCGGGCCAGGCUGGGAUCUGGCUGGGGUGGUGGAAGGUUGCCAAGAACCUCGAAGGGGAAGGAUCUGAGCCCAGCCUCCGAGGGGG